ACCUCAAAAAGGACCCCUCACCUCAUUUUGGGACAUUUUGCUUCAUUUAAAGACCCCUCACCCCAAACCGGGCCACUUUUCCCUCAUUCCGGGGCCCUUUUCCCUCAUUUCGGGACCUUUUUACCUCAUUUCGGGACCCCACACCUCACACCGGGCCACUUUUACCUCAUUUUGGGACCCUUCCACCUCCUUUAACCCCCCUUUACCUCACGCCGGGCCCCUUUUACCUCAUUUUGGGCCCCUUUAUCUCAUUUUGCGACCCUUUCACCUCAUUUUGGGCCCCUUCCACCCCCCCACACCCCGCGUUUCCCCCUUU
rnacentral:lncRNA from 1 species